rnacentral:rRNA from 1 species
UACGUAGGGUGCGAGCGUUAAUCGGAAUUACUGGGCGUAAAGCGUGCGCAGGCGGUUCGUCGUGUCCGAUGUGAAAGCCCCGGGCUCAACCUGGGAAUGGCAUUGGAAACUGGCGGACUCGAGUGUGGCAGAGGGGGGUGGAAUUCCGCGUGUAGCAGUGAAAUGCGUAGAGAUCGGGAGGAACAUCAGUGGCGAAGGCGGCCAUCUGGGACAACACUGACGCUGAGGCACGAAAGCGUGGGGAGCAAACAGG